rnacentral:rRNA from 1 species
UGGGGAAUCUUCCGCAAUGGACGAAAGUCUGACGGAGCAACGCCGCGUGAGUGAUGAAGGCCUUCGGGUUGUAAAGCUCUGUUAAUCGGGACGAAAGAGCGCUGUGCGAAUAGUGCAGCGAAGUGACGGUACCGGAAUAGAAAGCCACGGCUAACUACGUGCCAGCAGCCGCGGUAAUACGUAGGUGGCAAGCGUUGUCCGAAAUUAUUGGGCGUAAAGCGCGCGCAGGCGGAUCUGUAAGUCUGUCUUAAAAGUUCGGGGCUCAACCCCGUGAGGGGAUAGAAACUGCAGAUCUUGAGUAUCGGAGAGGAAAGUGGAAUUCCUAGUGUAGCGGUGAAAUGCGUAGAGAUUAGGAAGAACACCAGUGGCGAAGGCGACUUUCUGGACGAACACUGACGCUGAGGCGCGAAAGCCAGGGGAGCGAACG